GUGGAUAUAGCUCAAUAGAGUGCUUGCCUUGCAUGCACAAGUCCCUGGGUUCAAUCCCCAGCACCACA
rnacentral:tRNA from 1 species